CGGGUGAGUAACGCGUGAGGAACCUGCCUCAAAGAGGGGGACAACAGUUGGAAACGACUGCUAAUACCGCAUAAGCCCACGGCUGGCAUCGAGCAGAGGGAAAAGGAGCAAUCCGCUUUGAGAUGGCCUCGCGUCCGAUUAGCUAGUUGGUGAGGUAACGGCCCACCAAGGCGACGAUCGGUAGCCGGACUGAGAGGUUGAACGGCCACAUUGGGACUGAGACACGGCCCAG
rnacentral:rRNA from 1 species